rnacentral:lncRNA from 1 species
CAGCUCCCCAGUAAUCAUACCACGUGCUGCUUAUAGGCUUGAAAACUUUGGCUGCAAGGGGAUCUUUUUCCAAAUCAAUAUCCAAAGGAUCAAUAUCAACCUCCAUCAGGUCUUGCAGCAAUUCAAGGUCAAUGUCUUUAUCUUUUUCCAAAGAUGACAGGGGUGGAGCACCUGUGAUGUCAUGUGUCAAAGGCUCAUCUAUUGUUUCCACUAACUGAACUGUGGAUGGCUGAAGAGAGUCAUCAGAAUCUCCAGCUGAAGCACCAGCAUCUUCUCCCAAAGCACCUUCUUCCAUAGCUUCAGCUGCUAUAGGUGCCAGCAAUUCUCCUGCUAGAAUAUCUUGCAGCAUACAAGUCAGAGAAUACUGAGCCCAUGCUCCUCCCCAAGAGAUGUCUCCUCUGUUAAAGUCAGUUCCAACAAGAAGGAGCAACAAUCUUUCCAACUGAGUUUCAUUUACAAUCUCACAUAAAUGAAUUGUUGGUCUUGUAGCAUUUGCAAUUCUAGCAAGAACCUUACAAACAAACAGAAGUAAAUCCGCAUGACAAGUAAAGUCCAUAGACAAAAGGAAGAGUGCCAACUUCUGCACUACAGAAAUACAACGUUCAUGUGCCAGCGUAAAGGGAAGUGGCUCAAUUUCUGGAGUUUCCUUUGUUGUUGAUACUUCUGUGUCCAAAGUAGAACGAGGCCAUUCCGCAGUUCGACGUAAACGUAUUAAAUCCUUGAAGUGCUUGGAAGUAGCCUGCUUUAGUUUUGCCUGUUCUACUAAAAGUUUGUAUGAUGAUCCUUUGUUGCUUUGUAUUUUCUCUUUUUCCAUCUGUUCCACCAAAGCCUUCUGCUUUGCUUUUAAUAAGUUAAGUUGCUGUUUAUGAUGAACAAGCUGUUUUCUGAUCUUUCGGGAAUACAGUCUAUCUAGGCUACUGUUGCCUUUAGUAGAUCUGCUCAAACUCUGAGUGUGAAGGCUAUUAUUUAUAAAACUCCAUUGGUUUCCUGUCAAAAAACGCUCCCUCUCUUUUCCAUUCAGAGGUUUCUUGGCUGUGGCUGCUUCAUCUUCAACAGUGGCUACAUAAUCCAGUAGUCUGGAUACCAGCAUUACAACCCAGCUGAUCAUAGGAAUAUCUAACACUCCUUCAGUUCUUCUGUGCACAGGUAAAUGAGGUUGCAGUGGUGACAGAAGGUUAUCCAGGAGAUUAAGUAAACUUUCUAAAACACCACUGUUGCUAAGCGAUCUUUGUCCAAUGCAAGAAAGUAACAUGAAGACCCUGUCUUGUGGGAAUAUGAGAAGUUGCUCUGAAUUGUAUAAUUCCUGCAGUACAUUUGAGAGAAACUGACCCCACCACCUUUCUCC